rnacentral:misc_RNA from 1 species
AAAAAAAUACAUGCGAAUGCCGCGGAACGCGAUCGUCGCCUAACGGUUCACCCGUAGAAGCACCGUUUAGAACGGGCAGCGCACGGACGAACGGCACAAAUUUCGACGAACGAAUUCCAUCAACGUAGGUAUGCAACACAGGAAACCGCACGCAACGGACGAGGCUAACGUCGCUCUCGCACCAACG